GCUCAGUUGCUAAAGAAUAUACCUGCCAAUGCAGGAGACCAGGGAUCAAUCCCUGAUUGAGCA
rnacentral:tRNA from 1 species